UCAGAGGUGAAAGCCCACGGCUCAACCGUGGAAUUGCAGGGCGAACUGCGUGUCUUGAGGUCGGUAGAGGGUGCCGGAACUCUGGGUGUAGCGGUGAAAUGCGUAGAUAUCCAGAGGAACGCCAAUGGUGAAGACAGGCACCUGGGCCGGUUCUGACGCUGAGGCACGAAAGCGUGGGUAGCGAACAGGAUUAGAUACCCUGGUAGUCCAUGCCGUAAACAUUGUGCACUGGGCCUCGGGAGUUUUGACGCUCUCGGGGUCGAAGCGAAAGCAUUAAGUGCACCGCCUGGGGAGUACGGUCGCAAGGCUAAAACUCAAAGGAAUUGACGGGGGCUCACACAAGCGGUGGAGCAUGUGGCUUAAUUCGAAGCAACGCGAAGAACCUUAUCCUGGAUUUGACAUGCACGGAUUAGCUGUUGGAAACUUCAGUGACGCUCUACGAGUGGAACGUGCACAGGUGCUGCAUGGCUGUCGUCAGCUCGUGCUGUGAAGUGUUGGGUUAAGUCCCUUAACGAGCGAAACCCUUGCCGUUAGUUGCCAGCGGGUCAUGCCGGGGACUCUAACGGGACUGCCGGUGUCAAACCGGAGGAAGGUGGGGAUGACGUCAAGUCCUCAUGGCCUUUAUGUCCAGGGCUGCACACGUGCUACAAUGGCAUGUACAAAGGGAAGCAAUACCGCGAGGUGGAGCAAAUCCCAAAAAGCAUGCCCCAGUUCGGAUUGGAGUCUGCAACCCGA
rnacentral:rRNA from 1 species